AUACGUAGGGGGCGAGCGUUGUCCGGAAUUAUUGGGCGUAAAGGGUUCGCAGGCGGCCUGAUAAGUCAGAUGUGAAAGGCAAUGGCUCAACCAUUGUAAGCAUUUGAAACUGUCAGACUUGAGUUAAGGAGAGGAAAGUGGAAUUCCUAGUGUAGCGGUGAAAUGCGUAGAUAUUAGGAGGAAUACCAGUGGCGAAGGCGACUUUCUGGACUUAUACUGACGCUGAGGAACGAAAGCGUGGGGAGCAAACAGGAUUAGAUACCCGGGUAGUCCACGCCGUAAACGAUGAGUGCUAGGUGUUGGGGGUCAAGCCUCGGUGCCGCAGCUAACGCAUUAAGCACUCCGCCUGGGGAGUACGUACGCAAGUAUGAAACUCAAAUGAAUUGACGGGG
rnacentral:rRNA from 1 species